rnacentral:rRNA from 1 species
GAUGGACGCUAGCUACAGGCUUAACACAUGCAAGUCGAGGGGCAGCGGGAUUGAAGCUUGCUUCAAUUGCCGGCGACCGGCGCACGGGUGAGUAACGCGUAUCCAACCUUCCGUACACUCAGGGAUAGCCUUUCGAAAGAAAGAUUAAUACCUGAUGGUAUGAUGAGAUUGCAUGAUAUCAUCAUUAAAGAUUUAUCGGUGUACGAUGGGGAUGCGUUCCAUUAGGUAGUAGGCGGGGUAACGGCCCACCUAGCCAACGAUGGAUAGGGGUUCUGAGAGGAAGGUCCCCCACAUUGGAACUGAGACACGGUCCAAACUCCUACGGGAGGCAGCAGUGAGGAAUAUUGGUCAAUGGACGAGAGUCUGAACCAGCCAAGUAGCGUGAAGGAUGAAGGUCCUACGGAUUGUAAACUUCUUUUAUAAGGGAAUAAACCCUCCCACGUGUGGGAGCUUGUAUGUACCUUAUGAAUAAGCAUCGGCUAACUCCGUG